GGGGUUGUGGCUCAGUGGUAGAGUACUCACCUUGCACAUGUGAAGCACUGGGUUCAAUCCUCAGCCCCA
rnacentral:tRNA from 1 species